AUACGGAGGAUGCGAGCGUUAUCCGGAUUUAUUGGGUUUAAAGGGUGCGUAGGCGGGCUGUUAAGCGUGAGGUGAAAGCUCGGGGCUCAACCCCGGAACUGCCUCGCGAACUGGUUGUCUUGAAUGCUCCUGCCGUGGGAGGAAUGUGUGGUGUAGCGGUGAAAUGCAUAGAGAUCACACAGAACACCGAUUGCGAAGGCAUCUCACGAAGGGGUGAUUGACGCUGAGGCACGAAAGCGUGGGGAUCAAACAGGAUUAGAUACCCUGGUAGUCCACGCAGUAAACGAUGAUAACUAACCGCUGGGUCGUAGUGAUUCAGUGGCCAAGCGAAAGCGAUAAGUUAUCCACCUGGGGAGUACGACCGCAAGGUUGAAACUCAAAGGAAUUGACGGGG
rnacentral:rRNA from 1 species